CUCCACAUGAAGUAACUAACCAAAAGAUAAGGGAAUAGAACUUCUCCUGCAAAAACAACAGGGGAUAAAACCCUGAGUACGCAAUUACUCAGCAAGACUUACCCGACUAAAGAAAAGACUCUCAAGGGUAUGCUAGCUGAUUGGGAGUCAAGGUAAAGUUUAUCAAUGAUCAAAGACUCCUUUUUUGCAGAAAAGCUUGCUACCAGUUGAUCCUUAAGCCAAGUUUUAUUUCACUAGUUAGGUUAUUACCUGAAUCUAUAUUUGCCUGAUCUAGUUCAAGCACUUGGCCUAUACUAGCUCCAUUUUAUUCAUUCUCAUAUUUCACUUGCUAACUACGAUGAUGGUCACCGGGAUGAGUCUCCAUAACCGAGGAGCAACGACGAUUCGAACCGAUUAUACCCAGCUGGGGAUCUCUAACCACACGACAUAUGUAGCACUUAACCCUUGCAUAUGUCAACCGUUCCCACGGAGUCCUCCACUACAUGAACAGGUCUGCGCCACCCGAGAGCACAUUACCCUACCAAGCGUGCUACUAUGCCAGGAGGGUACAUGCUACUCCCGCCAUCUCUCCACUCCCAGUGCGCGAUUGUCUCUUCACGUAUGGAAUAGCCGGGUUCAAGCUUACCCUGUCCCAUACCAGGGUAUGUGGCUAGUUGCAAAGUCUCAACCACAACAGGCCAGUCAACGGUACGGUCCUUAAUCGACACAGACGGGCGACUCUGUCUGCUCAGCGCCUGGUCUAGAUUUAUUAACCAUUUCCCCAUUUUUGGUACCCGGCAGGGGUACUCUUUUCCAAUGAUGAGCCCACUCCGGCCGAAGUGGAGUCAUCACCUUAGUUUGCUUUGAUUUUUGAAUCAAAAAGCCGAUAACCAAUGUUCCACAAUCAUUCUUUUUGAAAACAAAUGAUUUUUCAGUUUCUAAGCAGGGUUAAGCAUUAUCAGUUCUUUUUAUAAAUCAGGGAUCAAGGUAUAGUAUUCAAAUUCCAAGGAAUGGUAAUGCAUCAAUUGUUCAUCACACAACUCCUAUUACCUAAUGCAGCAUAUAAGUGAUAAAAUUUUGUAAUACAAGGAAGGUGGCAAAUGCACCGGGGCUUGCCUUAUUGCAGGAGAAGAUCCCAAAAUCCUUCUACCCAACCUUUAGUUAGAUAGCUCCAUCCACUUGAUGAGCAGGCAUUGGAGUAGACUCCUUCAAACACCACUUCUUCUAGAUGUUCUACAAGUCAAUUACAAAUACAUGUAUGCUUAUGUUAUGAUAUGAAAUGCAAACUCUCAUAAGGAGAGGUGGGGAACAUAAACACUCCUAAAUAAGUACAUGACAAGUAUACACAUACUUCUACACAACCUAGCAUUCAAUAAAAGUGACCAAUUGAAUUCACUUAGAUAAACUAGGGAACUAAUCCAACUUAUAUCUCAUCCAAAGCUUAAAACUUCUUAAACAAGUCCCUCACUUCACUAAACUACUAGGUGUCCUCAUUUCAUAGGUGAAAUCCUUUUCUUUUUGGGCAAUAAUUAGUUUGCUAACUAAAUCAUAUCCAAAUAGUUCCAAACUUUGCCCAAGGGUUCAUCUUCUAAUAACAAGCUUCUCCAAACAAUUUCAUGAUUUUUGGUGCUCAACUCUUAUUUCUAAAAUUCCAAUAGUCCUUCCAAGAGCACCUUUAAUUCACUUAAUAUUUUAUAACUGCCUUAAAAUCCUAAAUCUAACUUUACCAGAGAGCUCAUGAAUCUAGACAUCCAACAAAAUUUGUCUUGCUAUUUUUGGAUUUCUCUACAAUUUUUGGCACCCUUUCAAAGCUCUCAGACAAAUAAUAAAGGGAAACGAUUUAAGCCUAGGCUGACUCCGGCCCACACGACCCACUACCAGGCCAAAGUCGGCCUGCGGCCAGGAGCCCGCGCGUCCACACACCCGACUUUGCACGGAGGCCCUUGGCUUAUUGAGAACUCAAUCAAGACCCAGGGCCACUAUUUCUCUGUCUCUCUGACAAUACACCGAGAUCCCUGACUUUAUCCUCCUUCACAUAGUCACCCCCUCAAAGGGACUCCGAUCGAACACCUGUGUCCGGUCGAGGAAACUCGUCGCCGACAACCUUCCCCGGCGAUAGCAAGUGCUCGAGCGUCACCACUUAGCUAAUGCGACAUAAACCCAUACACUAAUUUGCCCAUUACACCAUAGGGAUAUCAUGACCACGGUGCUGGCGGAAAUCGGGACUCCGGUGAGCCUGUUCCUAACAACAUAGCAUGGUAGCGCCCGAUUAAUUAGUUUGAGAAGGAUCGGUAACUCACCACCGCUACGGCGCUCGCGCAAACUCAAUCAAAGAACACUCGAAUUGGCCGGUCCACAAGGCGAUGGGUUCGAAGCGGCGUUCACUGACGGCGACAUGAUGUUCCCAAGGAUCUGUUACAGUAGAGUUCAAUCGAGCAGGAUGGUAAGCAUCAACAUAUGUCAGGAAAUUCAGAACACACCAAGUCUUGGCUGCGAUUACCUCGGGGAGUGCCGGUCACGGUGAGGCAAGCACUCUGACGUGGAGAAAAGGACUGGGUGCCGGCAACACGAAAACAAAGGCGAGCGUCGAUAGCCGGCUUGGAGACUCGGCACGGCUGAGAAGGGGCUCGGCGAGCUCGAUGAAUGGACGAAGAGUGAGGGGACGCCGACGAGGUGACUCCACGGUGGGGCGAAGCACAGAUGCUGGGAGCCGGUGUUGAGCGUUGCUGCUCCGGCGAGCUGCUUAGUGGCUGGACGGCGUUGGAGAGAUGGGGGAAGAUGCCGACAUGGAGGAGACGAUUACAGGGAGAGUCCUCGCAACCUCGGCUGAGGAGCACGACGAGAGGGAGGAAGACGAGGGGCUGGAAACGAACGAGCAAACUGAGCGCGUGAUGGGAUAAGAAUGACGGAAAUGACUAGAAGCAAGGACAGCUUACGGAUCAGGUAGAAAGGAGAGGGCGGUGGAGAUAAAAAAAAUGGAACUCUUUUUUAUUCUACCCAAAAUCUGAACCACGCUUCAACCACUUGAGACAAAAAAUGCAGCAGCAGCCGAUUGAACCCACCCUGCUGACCCCCACGCAUUUGAUCUCAUCCACAACCGUGCAAAUGGAGCACAGCAGAGCGCAGAUUUUUUUUUUCCAGAAAUAUCUGCCAUCAACUUCGAUGCCGACUGAACACUCCACCCUUCUCCCCCCUUGAUCUCUCAAUUUGCAGUAAUAACAGAAAGGUUAUGCUGAAUAUAUAUGUUCUCCAAUCAACCCUCUAUCAAAUUGCUAUAGAAACCAUAGCCUUAUACUUCCUGGAUUCAACACCAAACAACCCAAAAAAUGGGUGAAAACACAGAACUCCAAUUCAGCUAACUGAAUAACAAACUAACCUCCCCAUCUGACAGCACGAAUUUUGACCCAAUUUUCUCCAAGGUUAGUGCAGCACUAAUCAAAGAUCUUCAAAGUCACUAUAGGGUUCUGGGACUCAAACUUCACAGUUCCAAAGUUACGGUGCCCAGAAAUCAACCAAAUUUUAUUAGCGCCUUUCUGCUGGUCUGAAUUUCGAGUUCAGAUCACCCCCUCCUCCUUUUCUGCUCGAGGCAGUUUGAGCCUCCCUUUUCUCCCAAACCAAUAUGGUGUCAAGCCAAACCUUCAUAAUAAAAUUUGUUCAUUGAUAUACGGUCUCCAACGUUACUACAAACUUCUUGGUCCAAUCACACAAGAAUCACAAGUUAUGAUACUCCGGAGUUGGUCACAAUUUACUGAAAUUCGUUUUUAGCUUUUGAAUCACAUUCAAUUCACAGCACCGAUUGGCAGUCAAUGUUCGAGGGCAUUUAACUUAGGUUUCUAUACAGUACCAGACCCAAACCUUCUCAAGAGAGUUGUUCACCUUUCUAUGGUUUACCAAUUCACUAUAGACACCAUGGUCCAACACUUUAUGGAUUAGCCACAAAAGAGCUCUGAAGUUCAGCAAAUUGCACUGAAAUUCAGUUUUCAUUGGACUGAGUGAAAUCCAGUUUGUGUGACUGACAGUCCCACUUUGGGCAGUAUUUACACCACUUUUUGUGUAGGGUCACGCCCAACACACUUUAAGGAACUUAUUCACUAACAUAUGGUCCUCAAACUUUCCACAAUAACUUCAGUCCAAAACCGUAUAGAUCAAGCACCACAAAGCUCCAAAGUUUAAUCAGACACAUAUUUCAGACUUAGGCUACUGCACAACAGUCAAUACUCUUUUAUCUGACAGCACAACUUUGUGCAGUGUUUUCUCUCAUUUCUAAGCAGUUUCAAGGGUAUGUCCCUUACUAGAGAUUACUCCCCCAACAUUGGUCUCCAAGUUUGCUACAGAAACUACAGCCUAAAAACAAAGGUAUUGACCACCAAGGAGCUCCAAACUUAACACUUUUAUCUGAAAUUCAGGUCUCAAUCAGCCAUAGACUAAGUCUGAAAUAAAACCUGUCAGUUCCACUUUGAACCACUUUUUCUCCUAGUUCCAUGCGGAUUUAGGGCUAGUACACUUAAUACAAGUUGUUCUCCUACAAUUACUCAACAAGUUUGUUACAGUGACCAUUAACCAAAACCUCUUGGAUUCCAAACUACAAUAGCCCCAAAGUUUGCUCCAAUUGCUGAAAUUCAGAAUCUGAAUUUCACUAAGUCUGAAAUCCAUAUUUUCUAACAGCUCUUCUUUAGACCAGUUCUUCUCCAAAUCCCAUAUAGAUUUAAGGAUAGGUUACUUAAUCAAAGUCACACUCCUCACAUAGCUGUAUAACUUUGUUACAAUGACCAUCUUCCAAAUGUUUAUAGAUCAGAAGUUAUAAAGGACCAAAAUUGCCUAGUUGCUACUAUUUUCAGCAAUUCCAAUUUGAGCUCAAAACUGAACUCUUGUGAUUUACUCCAAUUUUCUCCACACAACAUGGGAAUCUCCAAAUAACAAAAUUGUGCAGCUUUGGAAAUCCUACCAACUUGGUAUUUUUACCUAUUGCAAAAUGUGGCUAGAUCUCCAAAUCCACUUUUGGGCUCCAGUUUAGGGGUUAGAGAUACUACUAAUUCACAUAUCAAAAGCAAACUUAUCCAUCCUCCUAAAGCAAAGUUGCUCCUUAAUCUCAAAUCCAACUUUGGCUUAUAGAACUCAGGUCCAAAGUAUCCUUGAUUUAGGAGUUGUUUGCUUACACUCAAUUCCAAUCAAGGUUUUCAAGCCUUAGGAUUUUGAAGUUAAUCCUUCGGUCCAAGUAUUUCUUCCACUUGAUCUAUCUUUGAAAACAAACUUUCUAUAGACUCUAGGAAUUGCCUUUAGCACUUCAAGACUCCAAGCCAAUUUGUUACUUGCUCAAAGGGAUGACCUACUCCUGUUUAGCUUAGGUCCUUAACUAGGUCCUCUACUCUGCACAUAGCAUCACCUUAUUGUAAAAUUAUUGAUCUAGUGAAUGCAUUCUAGGUGUAACAAGCAAGUUAAUGCAAAUGCUUAUGAUGACAUGUCAAAGUUUUAGUUCACGUAACACCAGGGGUGUUACAGUCUUCCCCUCUAAAAAGAAAUCUCGUCCCGAGAUUAAAACUCUAGGCUAGAUAAUGGAAAAGGAAACGCUUCACCAGUUUCUUUCCCCAUUACUCCUAUAAGGCAAGGGUGUGUCCCUAUUGGUUUAUAUCAGAAAUAAACUACACAAACCUUAGGUUUACAGGGCACUAGAAACUCAGGAACACGCUUUUCUAAAUACUCCUCCAAUUCCUAUGUAGUUUCAUCUUCAUUGGGUUGGUUCCACUGUAGCUUGUAAAAUUUGAUAACUUUUCUUCAAGUGACCGAUCCUUUUGAUCCAAAACCUUUAUGGAAUAUUCCAAGUAGGUUAAAUCUGGUCCACGGUUAACAUCUAAAAUCUCAAUAACAUGCUUGGGGGCUCGAAGACAUUUCUUUAACGGAGACACGUGGAACAUGUUGUGCACUAUUGGAAGAUCUUCUGACAAAUGUUCCUUAUAAGCCACAGGUUCACCAAAACCUUUGUUUCGAAUGUUGGCAGUCUUCGUGAACAGGAAAAAGGUAGCAUAGAAAGGCAAAGACAGAUAGCAGGAAUAGGGUGGACGAAACAUGUACUAAUACUGCUACAUAGGGGGCUUAAUUUAAAAUUGUAUGUCAUGAUGCAUGCUCGUCCUAUUCGUCCUCACAACUCUUGCCAACAUAUAGUGGCUUUCACGUUCUAUGGCGGUGGCAUACCUACUCACUCGUUAUUUAUCACUAGUCGCACUUUCCUAGGGUUUAGUUAGUGUACCUGCAAAAAAUUGCAUUAUAGUUGUGGGUUAGUGGUUAGCAUCCUAAACUAAGCCACCUUAUAGUUCUUAACUUAACUAUAUACUAUUUGCACUUCGACUAUCAGGAUUUGAUCAUAUUCUUAUGUUUUUCCAAAAUAGUUUGGACUCAAAAUCCUUUUGAACUUUAUCAAAGGAUUACUUUAAUAUCCAUGAUAAUGGGGGAUCGCUCCGAUACCACGCUGUGACAGCCCUCCCAAGUUAUCAGGCCCACAUGCACCAAUCCUUGCCUUAAUGACCUCAGAUGGCUGUGCACGUGUACCGGGUAACUUAACAAGGCUAUCGAGUUCGCCAACUGGAACUCAUCAUCCCAAGGAUCUCCCACAUAACAGGUAUAUUACAGUAAUCACAUUUGAUACACACACAUUGGAGAUAGAGCGGAAGACUUUUACAAAGUACACUUUACAUUCCAGAACUCAAGUUUUACAUGGUAGAAAGAGAUGUAUUUAUUACAAGUCCUGAUAGUACUCGAUGUGCAUAACUUAUUACAAUAAUUGGAAGGGUGAAGCCUUUCCAUAAGAGAUAAAAACAUUCUAAGCUUCAAGGCCUCCACAUGAAGUAACUAACCAAAAGAUAAGGGAAUAGAACUUCUCCUGCAAAAACAACAGGGGAUAAAACCCUGAGUACGCAAUUACUCAGCAAGACUUACCCGACUAAAGAAAAGACUCUCAAGGGUAUGCUAGCUGAUUGGGAGUCAAGGUAAAGUUUAUCAAUGAUCAAAGACUCCUUUUUUGCAGAAAAGCUUGCUACCAGUUGAUCCUUAAGCCAAGUUUUAUUUCACUAGUUAGGUUAUUACCUGAAUCUAUAUUUGCCUGAUCUAGUUCAAGCACUUGGCCUAUACUAGCUCCAUUUUAUUCAUUCUCAUAUUUCACUUGCUAACUACGAUGAUGGUCACCGGGAUGAGUCUCCAUAACCGAGGAGCAACGACGAUUCGAACCGAUUAUACCCAGCUGGGGAUCUCUAACCACACGACAUAUGUAGCACUUAACCCUUGCAUAUGUCAACCGUUCCCACGGAGUCCUCCACUACAUGAACAGGUCCGCGCCACCCGAGAGCACAUUACCCUACCAAGCGUGCUACUAUGCCAGGAGGGUACAUGCUACUCCCGCCAUCUCUCCACUCCCAGUGCGCGAUUGUCUCUUCACGUAUGGAAUAGCCGGGUUCAAGCUUACCCUGUCCCAUACCAGGGUAUGUGGCUAGUUGCAAAGUCUCAACCACAACAGGCCAGUCAACGGUACGGUCCUUAAUCGACACAGACGGGCGACUCUGUCUGCUCAGCGCCUGGUCUAGAUUUAUUAACCAUUUCCCCAUUUUUGGUACCCGGCAGGGGUACUCUUUUCCAAUGAUGAGCCCACUCCGGCCGAAGUGGAGUCAUCACCUUAGUUUGCUUUGAUUUUUGAAUCAAAAAGCCGAUAACCAAUGUUCCACAAUCAUUCUUUUUGAAAACAAAUGAUUUUUCAGUUUCUAAGCAGGGUUAAGCAUUAUCAGUUCUUUUUAUAAAUCAGGGAUCAAGGUAUAGUAUUCAAAUUCCAAGGAAUGGUAAUGCAUCAAUUGUUCAU
rnacentral:lncRNA from 1 species